rnacentral:rRNA from 2 species
UCUGGUGUCAGCCGCCGCGGUAAAACCAGCACCUCAAGUGGUCAGGAUGAUUAUUGGGCCUAAAGCAUCCGUAGCCGGCUCUGUAAGUUUUCGGUUAAAUCUGUAUGCUCAACAUACAGGCUGCCGGGAAUACUGCAGAGCUAGGGAGUGGGAGAGGUAGACGGUACUCGGUAGGAAGGGGUAAAAUCCUUUGAUCUAUUGAUGACCGCCUGUGGCGAAGGCGGUCUACCAGAACACGUCCGACGGUGAGGGAUGAAAGCUGGGGGAGCAAACCGGAUUAGAUACCCGGGUAGUCCCAGCUGUAAACUAUGCAAACUCAGUGAUGCAUUGGCUUGUGGCCAAUGCAGUGCUGCAGGGAAGCCGUUAAGUUUGCCGCCUGGGAAGUACGUACGCAAGUAUGAAACUUAAAGGAAUUGGCGGGGGAGCACCACAAGGGGUGAAGCCUGCGGUUCAAUUGGAGUCAACGCCAGAAAUCUUACCCGGAGAGACAGCAGAAUGAAGGUCAAGUUGAAGACUUUACCAGACAAGCU